GUUAUUGUAGCUUAACUAUAAAGCAUGACACUGAAGAUGUCACACUGGGCCCCACAGCCCCAAAAACA
rnacentral:tRNA from 1 species